rnacentral:ncRNA from 1 species
AGGUCUUGGUCUUAAACCUCUUAUUAUCUAAACUCUAUGCUUAUACAUGCAAGCCUCAACAUGCCAGUGAAAAAGCCCACCACACCCCUAAGGAGCCGGUAUCAGGCUAACCGCCCAUAACACCAAGCAACCCAGCCACACCCCCACGGGCUCGCAGCAGUAACUAACAUUAGGCCAUAAGUGCAAACUUGACCCAGCAACAGAAUUCUCCCAGGGCCGGUUAAUCUCGUGCCAGCGACCGCGGUUACACGACAGACCCAAGAUAAUACCCACGGCGUAAAGCACGACUAAAAUCUAAAGUUGGACCAUUAAGGAUAAAGACCAGCCGGGCCGUAAAAAGCCAUAAGUCACACUAAAUACACACCCUAACAGCCCAAACAACUUCAACUCGUGAAAGCCAGGAUACAAACUAAGAUUAGAUACCUUACUAUGCCCGGCCAUAACAAGACAAUAAAAUAACAAAUUGUCCGCCAAAUAACUACGAGUAAAAACUUAAAAUUUAAAAGACUUGACGGUACUUCACACCAACCUAGAGGAGCCUGUCCUAUAACCGAUAAUCCACGAUUAACCCAACCAACUCUAGCCUAACAGUCUAUAUACCGCCGUCGCCAGCUUACCUUGUAAAAGAAACAAAGUAAGCCCAAUAACACCAAUUAACACGACAGGUCGAGGUGUAACUAAUGAGUUGGACCAAGAUGGGCUACAUUUUCUACACCAGAAAAAACGAACAGACUAUGAAACUAGAAACUGAAGGCGGAUUUAGCAGUAAGAUAGGAAUAAACAUACCUAGCUGAAACCAACGCAAUGAAGUGCGUACACACCGCCCGUCAUCCCUGUAAAACACACAAUACAUCCAUAAACAACCACCCUAUAAUAAAACAGGGCAAGUCGUAACAUGGUAAGCGUACUGGAAAGU